rnacentral:lncRNA from 1 species
CCCUCCCAUGCGGAAGAGUCUGGCUGGUGCAGAGGGCUCAACUUUUCCCUAGGCUCUGGACCCAAAGGCCUUCCACGUCCUUUGGAACCUGCUUACUUCCUUUAUUCCCUCGCAGUCUGGCUCCUUCCUCCAUCCUGGGUGACCAGUGGGUGCCGACAUUGACAUUCAUAUAAGAACACGGAGGAGGUGCAGGUGGGAGGAGAUGGGCUCAGUUUUAGCCAACUUAAAAUAGAGUCUGCAGAGCCCGUGGGACACAGGGGAGGUAUUUGGGGACCCAGAGUUGGGGAACUGUGGGUAGAUAUGGGAGUUGAAGACACUGACAGCAAAGGGUGCAACUACAGUUCACCUAGCAUAGAACCCUAUGUGACCGUUAAAAAGAAUGAGGCUCAGUGAAGUGAACUCAUAGGGAAACCUG